ACCUUUAAAAAUAGCAACUAUGGCUAGUAUUUAUAGUUUUCAUAUUAAGUGUUGCGGCGGUUCAUUAGGCGAGGUUAGUGUGAAUUGCCGAUCGACUCGGUGAUUCGCCCUUCUUCUGGUUCAUCACCUUUUGUGCUUUUCCUUCAGCAUGUUUGUGUCCUGGAUCAUUGGGCGGUAUAUUUCUGCUUUGCUACACUGAUCGGCGACGCACCGACUGC
rnacentral:lncRNA from 1 species